CCCUCCCCUUCUGCCCCGGCCCCUGGUCAGUUCCCAGCUGGGGGUAGAACGUGGCAGGCAGGGCAUGCUGGGGCUUGCCCCACUUUGCGCAGCCAGCUCUGGCUGGCUCCCAUCAGAUUCGUGUGAGCUUUGGGAAAGCAAGAAGGAAGUGAGCUGUAGCAAGAGCAAAGUCCAUCCCCUGCCUCCCUCUCCUCUCCGACAUAAAGUAGUCUGCAGAGGGAAGCCAGCUGGUACUGAGUAACAGACACCAGUACUUGUGGUCCAGUCGUCAGGUGUCUUCUGGGGGCAGGCUAUUUCUCAGCAGGUUGAAAACAGGACAUGGUUGGUAUUUUGUUUUCUUUCCUGAUAGCAGGGUUCGUUCACCCUGAGGCCUGGUUGACUGAUAACCUUGAAAUGUGGGCAAGCGCACCAGGGGAGCCCCGUGGAAGCCCUUCCUUACCCUUUGCUUGCCCAGUCUUCUCGCCGUGUCCUCUGUUUAUGAGCCUUGAGUCUUCUGAUAACCUGUCCCUGGGGAAGACGCCUGGAGCCAGGAGACGCCUGCCUUUGGCUACGGCUGGACCACAUCUCAGUCCAGACUGAGUCUCUAAUUUGGGAUUUCUAAACGGCAUGAGUCUAGGGAGGGGAAACGGAGUCCUGCCUGUUCCCAUGAGCCUGCACAUCAGAGACAUUUACGUCAUGGGCCUACAUAUGGAGAGAUGCAGGCCAUUUCCCUGCUGUGAGGGGUUUGGGUGGCCUUAGUUUCCCCAUCUUUUAUUUUCUGCAAAGGAAGUGAAGCUGGUAUAUGGAUCACUUACUACAUUCCACACAUGGCAUGCACUCAGCAUACUUCCCAAAGUUGUCCAGUUAGGACAUAGCAUCCCUUUUGUAAACAGGAGAAGAUAGAGAUUCGGAAAAGUGGAAUAAAUUGACAAAGGCGUUUCAUCUGAGAGGGCGAGUUGGGAUUUGAACUUGGGCCUUCAGUUUCUAAUCCUAUAUGUGCUUCCCAUUCAGGGCCCAGCAGGGAUGGGAAGUCCAGGGCAAAUUACCACGAGCUGCGAUUGCAUUGCUUGUCAGGAUGAACCUACUGCAAAGGAGUAUUUAAUUUUUACCAGGGAGAAACAGGAAGAGGAGGAAAACGCACAGAACAUGUUUUUCUUUUUUGCUGGGAUCCAAUCUGCUCUCAGUACCCACCCCAUCCAGGCACCCUGUCACUGCUGUGGCUGAGAAGAGGUGACCUUGGUGGGCCCAGAAUGCCCCAACCUGGUUGCCGAGGGGCCUGCUUAUUGGACAAGAGAACCUCCACCUUUUUAGUCCUUAACAGGGAAGAUGGUGAGAAUAAAGGCUGUGGUGAAAUGCAGGCUAGCCUGCCUGCUGUCCCUUCCCUAACCAGGGGCAGUCCGGCAAGGCUUCUGGACAAGGCCGCGGCUUGUCGUGGAGGCUGGCUGUUUAGCCUCCCCACCCUCUGCUCUCUGGAUGGAGACGGAGCUCUCAGCCGCUGCCGGCCUGCUCCAGGCAGGUGGCUGCUUCCUUGUUGGAGGCGCAUUAUGAAACUGUAAUCACACUGCGCGUGGAGUCAGCCAAAGCAGGGGCUAUUAAUAGGGAGGUGCAGCAAGCUGACUCAGAAGGAAGCUGACUUAGGCUGCAGGGGAGAGCCCAGCCACCUUGGCCUACAAUCCCUGGCGAGAGGGCAGAGACAGAGACCUGAGCUCAUUUAGUCCCUGGAAGGAGUCAGCAUUAUCUGGACUUCUCAACUUUGGAGCAAGAAAUACGAAGCAGCACCGACCAGAGAGAGGGCUGUGGAACUGUCUCUCCCAGGUCCUUGGGGAGUCUCAAGCCCGAGGACAAAAAGCUUAAAUAACUGUAACUCAGCAGAGCCACAGUGCUCCCCUGCCGGUGUCAUCGGCCGAUGUGAUUGGCUACAUUUCUGUAGCCUCCUUCAGCUGAGAAGUCGGGCUGACCCAGCCCUUAGCUGGCCAGAGCUCACUGUAGGCAGACAUGUCUAAGGAGGGUGUUCUGUUUCUGACUUCUUGCUAAGGCUCGGGGAUGCAGGUGUCACAGGAAGGGGGAAGCCAAGACAGGCAUGAAGGAUGUGGUGUGGAAGGGCCCCCAGCUCUGGGCAGAGGAUGUUUUGAGUGCGUUCUAUAAAUGCGGUGCACUUCUCAGGAAGUUAAGACGGUAGCAAGUUGGGGGACUCGCUGUCCUGUGGCAGUUGGAAGCAGGGCAGGGCCCAAAGUCAGGCCCGGGAACUGCUCUGGGCCCUAGGCUGGCCACCAAGCAAGUGCUCCCCACCGGCUGCUCCUCAUCCUCACUGCCCCACCCCUCUCUGUGGCGUAAGUGACUUGGUCACACAAAGCCAGCAGGUGAUGAGGGGAGGACAUCUGCAUCUGUCUGAUGCCAGAAGAAAAGCCAGGUUGCAAUGAGCUGCCUUUGCAUCCAGGCUCAUCCUCCUCUUCUCUGUUUCUUCUAGAUCUGGUUGUCCCCCGAUUUGUCCCCACUCCAGGACCGUCACUGCAGCCAAAGAGAUGAAGUUCUGCGUGCACUGGGUGGGAGGGGUAGAGAAGCUGGGGGAGUGAUAUGCAUAAUCAGCUCUCCUUUCUUCUAGUUGUUUAGGUAGACUAGCUGUGUUUCCUCCAACUGGAAGUUUCAUUUUGAAGAUGGAGUUCCGCUAGAGCUGACAACAGAGGCAACCUCUUGGAGGCAGAGGCAUUCUGGCAUUUUGCACAGAGGAAACAGGACUCUCGGGCCCAGGAGAUGACUCCUCGACCACUGGGCAGGGCACGGAGGCCCCAGGGCCUUCGGUACUGGAGUCGCCUAGAGGUCACGAUGAGAAGAAUGGCUUCCCCCAGGCUCCCUGUCAGCAGAAGCCGUGGGAAACUCACCGAAGCCUUGGUGAUUGGACUGGAUUUCCCACUGUUAGCUCGGGUUCCUUCUCAGGACCGGCCAGCAGAGUCUGUGUAGUGACCUCCAGCCCAAAGUUCACCAAGGAGCUGUGCAGCACCAGAGCAAAGCUUUGUCUCAGCAACAAGCUCAGAGGACAUCCUCGCCGGGCCCAGUGACGUUCACAGCCAACACUACAGUUUUCAGUAAAACUCUUUGAGUUUUAAAUGUGCUUUUGGAUAAUUUAGGAGGUUAUGAUUGUCCGGCUGAGCUAGUAAUUAGCUAGUCCACAAAAACUUCAAAGCUACAAACCAUGUUUUUUGAGGAAGCCUCUUGAAGCCUGGAUGAUAAAUGUUUACGUUUAAAAAAACCAAACCAAACCAAACAAAAAUCCCCAAGAAAACAGAAGCAGGAAAAAGGACCCUGGUGAGUAAAACCAAAAGCAUGUGGCGGACAAACACAUGGCUGGAUGGGCAUUUGUUUGGAACAAUGCUCGCAGCCCCAGCCUUGACAUUAGGGAAACUGGGAAUGUGGGACAUACUUCCUAUGUCUAGUAUUUCCUGGAAUCCAACUUGGAGUGCCAUUUUCCCUUGUGCCAUCAAGAGUUAAACUUUGGUUCCCUUCUGCCAGUGACUAAUAUGCACUGUGUGGCUCUGAGAUCAUCGAGAAAGAAACUGACAGUCGGCGUGGGAAGUGUGUGAGAUUUCAGUGCUCUUGAAAUGCCUUUGAUGAGCAUGGUGAGGGAGCACAGGAUCAUUCCUCCCCACCCCCACCCCACCCCGUGCCCCUGGUUGUAUAAUCUUGUCGUGAAUUCUUGUUUCUUCCUUUGAAUUCUGCGUGAUUUUACAUGAAGCUCCCUAACUCAUUUGGGAGCUUGGGAUUGCCAGGCUGUCUGAGUGUUUCCAGGGAGAGUGAUAUUUUAGAUGAGGACAAAUUCCACCACAUUCCCACCCAUUUUGAUUGAAAACAAAGCAGAAGCAGCUGACCUGAGUAAGAUGCAGGUGACGUGUGUUAGGGAGACUGUGCCUUCCCAUUCCUGGUGCUUUUGUUCUUCUGAAAGGAGCCCCAUUCGCCUCACACUCACAUUCUUGGCUUCCCUCCACUCCCACACUCUUCCCAGAGACAGAGGAGUGGUUUAAUGAGACUGGUGCGUUUGGAAGGAGAAACCAUGUCUCAUAUCAUCCUCUUCGCCUUUCUUCUUGGGAGCAAGUUUUGUUCCUGCGGGGAGGUUCCCACAGGGAGGCCCAUUCCUGGCCAGCUGUAUGCCAAUAAGUGGCUACGUGUGUCUAAGCCUGAGGUUGAGCACUGGGGCGUUCACGUGUCUGGUAAUAUAAGCCUCAUUCUCUACUAUCAGCUUCAUUUGCAAUAAAGUUUGGGUCCUUAUUUAGCUUAUUGCUAUUUGCUGGUUCCAUUCAAAACUUACAGAUGAGGGAGGGGGACUGCUAUUCUGGGGCCUCUUAAAGACCCCAACGUAUUCACUGGGAGACUUUGCAGUAAAACAGUUGUGUGAGGUUAAGAUCUGGCUUCCAGAUCCAUAUCACCACUUUCCUGAGUAACAGAUUUCUUUGCUGUGCAGUGAACACAAAGGAGUUCAUGGAAGGUGUUCUUUCUAGCUGAAAUGGAGCCAUUCAGGUUAUUUAUUGAAUGCCUGCUGUGUGUCCAGAGUCACGAUGGCAAUCAAGAGUCAGGGACUUUGUUGUCAUACACUUGGUAACCUAACUAUGAUCUAUUGGUUAUAAUGCUUAAUGUUUCAAGCAAAAUAAAACAACUUCAUAUAGGCUUAAGUACUAAAGGGAAUUUAUUGGCCCAUUUGCACAAUUUGAUCCAGGAUUCAAAUAGCACGGAUCCAUUUCUUGACUGCCUUUUCUGGGCUGGAUUCAUCCUUCAGCCGACACAUGACACAAUGUCUCUCUCCUGGAAGUUUCUAGCAUCCCAGGAUGGCUGCAGCAGAGUUAAGGCAUCCCAUUUCCCAGGAUGAGAGGAGUCCAGGUCCCAGCAAUCUUGGCAGACUUCUGAGAUCCCCUCUGAUUAGCCCAUCUUGGGUCAUGAGAUCAGUGUGGAGAAUAUGCUGGCUGGCUUACAUCCAGUGGGGAUGACCCCUGAAUGUGGGAAAUUUGGGCCCAAAACUUGGGCACCUGAUAGGAAGGGAGAAGGGGCCACAAUCAUACCUGCCCACCAUAGAUGGAAAAGACAAUGAAUACCGUUACAAUUCUGCCCUGAGAGCACUCAUCUGCAGAAAAGGGAGAUAUUCUGUUAUGGCCUGGUGAGCCAAGCAUAGCUCUAAGAACUCAGAAAUGUGGAUUCUAAAUUCUGUGUGGGUCCUUAUACAUAGCAGACCCCAGGGAUGCUGCAGAGGUUAACAGACUGUUCUGUUCCAGCCCCUCAGUAAUUGCCCUCGGGCUGGAUUCUCCUGUUCCGUGAUCCUUUGUCUCUUUUGAAAAAAGUUUGACUUAUUUAUUUGAAAGGUGGAGAAAGAAAACUAGAGAUCUUCCAUCUGCUGGUUCACUGCCCCAAUGCCCACAACAGCCAGGGCUGGGCCAGGUGGAAACCAGAGGAGUUGGGAACUCAGUCUGAGUUUCCCAUCCUGGGGGCAGGGACUGAGGUACUUGGGCCAUCACAUGCUGCCUCCCAGGGUGCACAUUAGCAGGAAGCAGGAUUGGAAUUGGAGCCAGGACUUGAAUCAGGCACCAUGAUAUGGUCUUACCCAGCAAAUGCCCACCCCCUUUACUCUCCUUGAAAAGGAGGAUAAUAAUGUCCUGAGAGGGACACCAAAAGGAUGACUGAGUGACAGCCACGAGUCACUAAAUAAACCAAAACUAUCUACUGGUGUGUGUGUUAUUCUUUCAGAUUUAAGGACCUUCAGCUGCUGGCUUAGGGACUAAACGUUAACCAUGCUGGGCAGAUGAUCAGCUGACGCGAGCUUUUAGCCCAGGAGACUCCAGACCUUCAGCGUUCUAAAUUUAAAAGAUCUGCAGAACAAGAUACAACCCAAACGAACUGCAAGGAGACAGAAAUGUAGUCAAAAUGCAGUCAGGGAGGGUGCUCUGGCCAAACACCACAGCCAGCCCACAAGGUGUUCCCGGCACUGGCCGAGCACUGCUGGUGCCAGAGCAGUCCUUUGUUUCUUCACUCAACACAUGUUUUUUGGCACUUUCCAUAUAAGAGGUUACAGCAGGAAUACAGAGGGAGGCCCUUAAAUCCUUUUUAGAAUAAGGAAGGGAUCUCCCUUUCUAAAUAACUAAAUUCUAAGAAACCAUAUCCAAAACUAAAAUAAAUUAAAGAUCCACUGUUAUGUCAGGGACAGAAAAGACAGAGUCAGUUUCAUUUUGGGGGAGGAAGUUGGAGAAGAAAUGGGUCAUGCCUUGGACUGAGUGAACUGACCUUCCCCAAGACAAACAAAUGAAACAGAUCUUCAAAAAAAUUCAUAGUAAGUGCAUAUUACGGAAAAAAAAAACUAUGCAUGGACUUCAAAAAUCUUUGCAUCAAAACUUAUCUUUUAAUUUCAUUUUCCACGAACUUUUGGAAGUGCCCUUAUGGGCUAAGUUGAGAGAUUGCAGUCAAGUUAUGCAGUCUUUUUUUGAGGUCUCCAAAUAGAUAUGACUCAGUCCCCUGAACAUCCCACAGCAGCAGUUUAGUUGGACUUUUCCUAUUGCUCUUGUUCUGACUUGAAUCAGUCAAUUAUUUAUUCAUUCCCUUAUUGAUUAAUUUACUCAUUGAACACUGAUGAAAGACUUGGUAUGUGCCAAAGGCCAGGGUAUAAAACGGAGUGAGACACAGUUCUUAUAUUCUAGGAGCACAGCCCAAGGUGGAAGGAGGUGUAUAAAAAAAUCAUUAUAAUAAAACAUGAGAGCAACUAUACUAGCAGCCUGCUCUGAAUGCUCAGAAGUGAAAUCUUAGGGCUGGUGCUGUGGCAUAGAAGGUUAAACCUCCACCUUCAGUGCUGGCAUCCUGUAUGGGCACCGGUUCAAGUAUUGGCUGCUCCACUUCUGAUCUAGCUCCCUGCUAAUGUGCCUGGGAAAGCAGCAGAGGAUGGCCAGGGUACUUGGAGCACCUGAACCCAUGCUGGAGACCUGGAAGAAGCUCUUGGCUUCAGCCUGGCCCAGCCCUGCUUAUUGCAGCCAUUUUUGGGAGUGAGCCUGCAGAUGGCCCUAAUGGCUGGACCCUCAUUGCUUUUGCAGGUGCAUUAGCAGGGAGCUGUGUUAGAAGCUGAAUAGCCAGGACUUGAAACCAGCACUCUGAUAUGGGAGGCUGGUGUAGCAAGAGGCAGCUUAAUCUGUUGCACCACAAUGCUGGCCUUAUCAAAAAUUUUAAAAACAAGAGGAGGUGGAAAAGGUAAGCUCAGUAAAAGGUGGUGCUUCACAGGUCUUGCUGUGGCUUUGGACUUUACAGAUAAGAGGGAUUUGUUGAAGGAUUUGAAGUGCAGGAGUGACAAUAUUAGGUUUGGGCUUUCGAGAGACAUUCUGGCAGCAGUGUGAAGGGGAGUGAAGUGGGGUGGGAUUAGAGGCAAAGGAGUCAACAGGAAGCCUGCUCCAGGAAUCUAGGUGAGAAGUAAUGAGUCUCCGUUGUUGAAAAAAGGGGACGGAUGGGUUCAGGGAAGAGUCGAGAAAGUGGAUCAACAAGACUUGAUUGGAGGGGAGAUGAUAUGGGAAAGGAAGGAGUUAAGAGUGAUUUAGAUGUCAUUCGGCUGCACAGCUGAGGAAAUGAGGCAUCGGUUAGCCACAGCAGCUAAUAGAAGAACAGGAGAAAAGAUAAUGACACACUGAGGAUGCCCACAUGACAUUCAAGUGGGCGAGCCCCACUGGCAGUUAGAAGCACCAGUCUAGGCCAGGCGUUUGGCCCAGCUGCUUGGAACACACUCAUCCCAUAUCAGAGUGCCUGGGUUGCAGACCUGGCUCCAUUUCUGAUUCCAGCUUCCUGCUAAUGUACACCCUGGGAGGUAGCAGAUAGUGGCCCAAGGAAUUAGGUCCCCACCACUCACAUGGGAGACUCAGGUUGAGUUCCAAGCUUUGAGCUUUGGCCUGACCCAGCCCUAGUUGUUAUGGGUAUUUAGGGAGUGAACUAGCAGAUAGGAGCUGUCUGUCUCUCUCCUUCUGCCUUACAGAUAAAUAAAAAAAAAACAUUAAAAACAUUUUUUUAAAGAGACCUUACUUUAGAAUUGAUGAGAGAGAUGGAGGUAGACAUCAGGUAUGGGAUUGGUGCCAAGGAUGUGGACCUAAAUGACCCAGACCUCAUCCAGCUGAACGGUGAGAAGUGCAGGGGCACCAGGACAGGCCUUGGGGAGCAUUAACAUAGGCAGACCGGCCAGGCAAGAGGAGCCAGCCAAGGAAAGUAAAGAGAGUCUCCAGAGAAGGGCCAGGUAAACCAGGAAGGAAGAGGAGAGAGCAGCAAUGAAGCGGGUUGGAGCUGCUGAGAAGUCUGGUAUAGCAUUUGUGACAGUUCCAUGUUAAAGACUAAAGCCUUGGGGUCAGUGCUGUGGCACAACGGGUUAAAGCCCCAGCCUGCAGUGCUGGUGUGGGGAGCAACUGGGACUAGACUGUUACUGGAAUUAAGACUUAUUCUAUGCAUCUGCUCUCCCACAAUAUGGCGCUGGGAGAGGAGGAAACAGCUUCUACACAGCUGCCUCCAGUUCAACCAAUAAACAGCAGGACCUGCUCCUGAUUGGAGGAGAGCAGCGUACUCGGCGUGUGCGUAGCAGAGGACUAUAAAGGAGGAGAGAGACAACAUGCACCAGGAACAUCUAAGGGGAACACCUGAGCAACAUCUGAGCAGCCU